rnacentral:rRNA from 1 species
GAGUUUGAUCAUGGCCAGGACGAACGCUGGCGGCGUGCUUAACACAUGCAAGUCGAGCGGUAAGGCCCUUCGGGGUACACGAGCGGCGAACGGGUGAGUAACACGUGGGUAACCUGCCCUGUACUCUGGGAUAAGCCUUGGAAACGAGGUCUAAUACCGGAUAUGACACUGAACUGCAUGGUUUGGUGUGGAAAGUUCCGGCGGUACAGGAUGGACCCGCGGCCUAUCAGCUUGUUGGUGGGGUAAUGGCCUACCAAGGCGACGACGGGUAGCCGGCCUGAGAGGGUGAUCGGCCACACUGGGACUGAGACACGGCCCAGACUCCUACGGGAGGCAGCAGUGGGGAAUAUUGCACAAUGGGCGAAAGCCUGAUGCAGCGACGCCGCGUGAGGGAUGACGGCCUUCGGGUUGUAAACCUCUUUCAGCAGGGACGAAGCGCAAGUGACGGUACCUGCAGAAGAAGCACCGGCUAACUACGUGCCAGCAGCGCGGUA